rnacentral:lncRNA from 1 species
UAUUUUGUGCUUUCCUGCAGUGCUGCUGUCUUUAUGUAGUAGAGUCUCAUGACUUUGGAAGUCAACAUAAGUGUCCCCUUUUCACCACAGAGGAGGCCAUUCAAGCCUGAGACCACGGAUGCCCAGGAUUGUUACGUAAUUGUCUCUCUGCAAGUCCAUUCUGCAUCCCUGUGUGCCCUCCCUCCCUGCGCUCCCGGCCUUCCCUGCUUUACUUUCUAUUUCCAGACUUGUUUAGGCUUCUCCAAGGAUUCCGAAUUUACCUGACAGUGGCUUUCUCUUGUAAGUCCUUUAAACAUGAUUUGUGAGAUUGGUUCAUGAAAAAAAAAAAAAAAAAGGUUCCAACAUUGCAUUGAGACAGAGUUGAUCUUAGAAAUGUUUGCUAAACGAUUUUCUUUUAAAUAAGAUGGAUUGCUGUUUUUAUUACGAAGUUCAAAUGCAUGCUUAGCGUUUCAGCUUGGGGAAAGGAAAUAUCAGACAAGCAUUCAUGACCAAGUUCUACCAAUCAAAGCAAGUUGCAUAAACAUUCUGGAGUAUUUUUUCCUAUUUCUAAAAUGUAUUUUAAAAUUUAUUUGUGUCUUUUUGUUUUAGUUUUAUGCAGUUGAGCUUAUACUUUGGGCAUAAUUCUAUGUAUUUCAAUCUACAUAACAUCUUUUAAAAUCUUCUCAUGCUUUUUAAAUCAUGUAUUUGAUAAACAGAUAUACUGUAGUGACUUAUGCAUUUUAUUGUUAUUAGAGAGUUAAGGUUUUUCCCUGACCACAAUUCAUUAAUAGAAAUGAUGAUUUGGUAAGUAAUGUUGGUUUUAAAUUUUGAGAGAUGGUUUGGUUAUUUCCUUAAUAUUCCAAGGAGAAUGCUGAGCUCCAAGAAUCUGGAGAGUUCUGUGUCUCUGGGUAGUUACUGGCUGUCCAUAUGCCUGACUUCCAUCCACACCGUGGGUUUUCUUUGGGGAAAGCAGGUGUGUGUCCCCUAGGUGGAUUUCCUGUGAAUCAGUAUAUUUCCCAGGUGAUAUGCCUAUCUGGCACUCAGCAGUGCUAAUCUUACCAGGGACACGGUUAAAGUUCCGGGGCCUAGAAGGCCCCUGCCAGUCUGGAACCGAGACAGAAGGGGACAGGAGCCCGUGUCAGCGAAAUGAAAAAGAACAGGGAGAGACCAGCUAAACUUUGGGUCAGCUGGUUGCGCCAGCCUUUUGGUGUUAAUUGUUCUGCAGCUGAAGAUGCUCCUCAGAAGGCUCCCGGACUGGCUUGCUGUGCUGGGGGGAGAGCUCAGAAUUCUCGGCCUGGGUUGCUGAGGUGGGGCCUUCAGAGCUGGUUCUGGGGAAUCUUGUCUGGUGUGGCCCGGAUUUGAAGGACUCUGUGAUGUAGUGGUUGGCUUUUUUGCUUCUAUCCCUUCAAACCUGCUCAUGGGGACACUGAGAGACCUUUGAAUGAUUUAGGAACAGUUUAGUAUGUUGUCCUGUUUCUUAAAUGGGAAUCUAGACAAUAACUGUUGUUUAAAGUAGAAGUCUCAAUAAAUCACAGUGAUCACAAACCCUUUGACUCAGAGAUUAAAAUUUUAGGGAUUAAUUCUAAAGAAGAGCAAUACUUGAGAGUGGACUGUUGAGAAGUACUUUGUGAUGGUGUGUGUGUGUGUGUGUGUGUGUGCAUGCACGCACGCCUGCGUGUGUUUAGGCAUCAGGAGUUUGGGAAUCUCCAAACUGCAUUCACAUGCUAAUGGAGAAAUUCUGCUCUUAAAAGCAAACAACUUAAAAAUACUUAACCUCAAUCCUUCCAGCCCUGGUCACUGGCUUUUGUAUUUGUGUGGAUGUCUAUUUGUGUCCCCCCAACACGGAAGAAUAAAGUGGAACCACAAUAUCUGGAGUCAGAGGGCAAGGCCCUCUAGCUACCAUGACAUAGUAGUGUAGGAAAAACGUAGUUGACUUAAACAAUAUAAAAUAUUUGAGGGGCGUGAUUCCAUUUCUGUUAAACCAACAUUUGUGUUAUCAGUCCAUAUAAAUUACGUACUGAGGUACGGGUGACUCUUUGCCUUAGUGCUUACCUAUAUUCCCACACUUUCUAUAAUGAAAGUAAACUCUAAUAUUUUAUUUUUAUUUUCUUAAUAUUUUUUUUUAGUUUUUGAUGGACCUUUAUUUUAUUUAUUUUUAUGUGGUGCUGAGAAUCAAACCCAGUGCCUCACACCUGCUAGGCAAGCACAUUACCACUGAGCCACUAUCCCAGCCCCUCUAAUACUUUUAAAAAGUAAAAAAUGGUAACAGAAAGAAAAAUGUACCAGUGAUCCUGAACAUGCCCGGUUAUCUCACUGAGUGUUACAGUCCUGCUGUGAGCAGUCUAGGGUGCAGUGACGGAUCUAGAAAGUUCUCUUGGUUUGACAUAUAGACAGGAAUAAAAUAGCUUUGAAGAUCUAUCUACAGGAACAGGUUGGAGGUUUCGGGGCUGUGUGGCACAGAGAAAAAUACAUCUGAGAAACAAAAGGAGGUAGAUUUAUUUUUCUUUUGAAUAGCCAUUUGCUUGUCUGAAUUGCCUUUCAGCGCUGUGUGUGUACAAACACCAUCUCCCUGUGGCUUCGACCAGGUGAGCAUUCAAUAAGAGGCUUCCCUCCGCUGGGGUUUGACUUUCUGCCAAGGUUGAAUAACAAACUCCAAUUGUUCAACUCCUCACCUCUCCACCCCGAUGCACCCAUAUUAACCUUGAGCAUUCACACUGGCUUUUGCAAAACCUGGCGUUGAAUAUAUGACAAGCCCCAUCCUACAUUUCUUUUAUGAUUGCUUGCAAAAAACUUGAACUCAAUGAUCAGCGCAAGUAUCUCUUUAUUUAUCCAUCUGAUCCCUGCUAAUGUAAAGUUUAAACAAUGUACAAUUAGAAAAGUAAAAUUAUACACCCCAUAUGACUGUAAACAAUUAUACUCAUUAAAGACCUUGUAUGAAAUAGUUAGAUUCAAAAAAUAUCAGCAGCAUCGACAAAACUGUUGAGUAGAGAGAAAUCCUGGGUUUUAGCAGCAGUCUCUUAGAAUCUGAUGAUAACAUACUAUCUUAAAUAAUUUCUAAAGUUGGGUGGUGCUCUAUUGGGGGGAAACAAUUAAAAGCGUGCCACCUAUAGAAAAUAAAAAAUACUAAGAAAAAUAUCAAAACAAUCCAUCCACUGACCAGCAGUCUAAAUGAGAGCAAGGAUACUGUGACCCUCCAAUUAUAGCACCAUGCGCUGGCUUCAUCAAUAAUAUUGCAGAGAAAGGGCUUGACCACAUCUCACUCUGGCUUUUACCUUCGAGCCAGGCAAAUGCAUUGAUAAGGCUCAAGACUCUGGAGAGCAAAGCUUCACCACUUGGCCUGGAGGGGUACUUGUGACCUCAAAAGCAUUUAUACUGAUACAUAAAUAGGCAGGCAGAGGAAAGGCCUUUGUCCGCAUUUGGUCUGGUCAGAAAGAAAUUUCUCUUAGGAGUCACAAGGCAUUCGCUCAGGAAGUUGAAAGGAAGAGGUUCCUCUUGGGACUUCCACCAAGGGGACACCCUUUUAUGGAGGUUAGAAGAGGAGAAUCCUGUACACAUGGUACAGUGAGGUUGGUCUCCCUGGAGGUGUUAUGCAGGGUGGACCCCAGAUCCUCCCUUCAGCAGUAGCACCUGACAUAGGGAAUGUCGGGGGGCAGCAUUGCUUAACAAUACAGGGAUCAAUAAGAACAAAAAUGCUCUUGGUGAAAGAAUGUGUUGCAGUGGCCAAAGCCCAGCCAGACCCAUUUUGAUUCCCUUCCUCACCCAUCUGAGUGGGAUCCAGGGCAAUCUCUGGUCCUCUCAGAAUUAUUUUCUUUAAAAUAGACCAACCACACUCAAGUCACUCAGACUGUAUCCUCCUGAAGAUGAAGGCUGUGGCUGGGGUCUACUAGAUGCUCACCUCCAGAGCAAAAUGGACUCACCUGCCCCCAGGAAACAGAGGUCACUAACCACCAUGGGACAGCUUCCUGGGUGCCCAGAGCUCAUCUGUAAAGUAGGCACUUUGCAGCGUAUCUCUUUGAUAGUCUAAUAAAGAACUGCCUGACCCUGCAUCUGCAGUUAGAGCUGCCUUUCUGUGGUCUGUGGAAUUCACUCUGUAGUUGAGGGGGCCGUCUGGCAGGGGGAGCCGUAAAAGUGUCAGAGCCUUAUGAACGGCCUGGAGGUGGGAUCCCGUUGUUCUGUGCUGGGCAGUGAGGGGGACUGAUGGUGUGCGGGCUGCAGGCAGUGUUGAAUCUCCCUCCAUCUGUGCAGGGGGGAUGAGGACAGGCGAGCAGAACCAGAAACCAGCUAGCUGCUCCAGCCAUCCCAGGGAGAGGCAGUGUCCAAAGGCCCCGAUGAGAUCACCUCUUGCCCCCAGGGAGCCCUUCUCUCAUUCCAAAGUACAACAUGCCAGGUUUAAUCCUAAGCCAUCAGUGAGGUGGGUCUGAAUUCACUUUCUCAGAGAAUGACCUGAUUUCUGUGGCUGUAAGCUAGCAGCAGACUGUAUUAAUUUGACUGUUUUUAUAGGUCUUUUGCAUGCAGUGUUAAGCACACAGCUCCACCAUCUAAUUAAGAGGGGCCCUUAUCAAUUUGCAGGAUAGUUGCCUACAGGAAAAAAAAAACAUAUAUAUAUAUAUAUAUAUAUAUAUAUAUAUAUAUAUAUAUAUAUAUAUAUAUGUUAAACAUUACACUGAAUCCUCCAUUCCUAAGAGGUAAGCAUUAAUCAAAGAAUGAGACUAUCCCCAAUUAAUCACCGAUCUUGCCAACAGGUUGUAACAUAUACAUGAGGGACUUGUGGAGGAGUCCUUGCUUUGAGAACUAUCUUUGGUUCCCACCCAGUUCACUUUCUGGAAUUAAAUAGCAGAGAAACUUUCUGAGGACUGGAUUCAAGAGACAGUUAUGCCCGGGGACUUGCCCUCUAGCAUGCCGACCCGGCUAUCAUUUCAUCCUUGGUCUGGAUAAGGUGGGCUUCUUUUGGGGGGGCCAACAGAAGUGAAGGAAAGAGCCCACAGGAAGUAGGACCACCAGAUGAGGCUCAGAGUGUGGGCUGUCCAGCUGGAGGGCAGUGGACGACAUGUCAGGAGUGGACAGCCCAGCCCAGACCCUGCCCUUGCAUUGCUAAGCGGCCUUGAACCAACUGGGCUAGACUCUUGACUUGAAAGAAGUCUGUGCCCCUGGGAAGCCACGUGGACCACCGGGACCAUGCAAUGAGUUUCGGUUAAAAUCCUGGCUCUACAGCUGAGCAACCCUCAGGAUGAAAUGACCCUUUCUAUGCCUGUAGAGUUGAUCUGCAGAUGCCCUCUCCAUUGAGUUCCUUUUAAAGAAAGAUUGGAAAAAAAAAAUCAAUCAAGUGUAUGAAAAUAGUUCGCAUGCAGGCUUGCUGUGAAUACCAGUCUCCCUCCAUGGACUGUCCUUUUUAAAUCUAACUUUCUCAACUUUCUGAGAUUAUAUCUCAAUCCUCCUGCACAAAAUGCACCCAUUAAUGGUAAGAUGCUCCCUGAGAUCCUUGGUUGUCUUUUUGUCUUGGAGGUGAAGUCAACAGCUCGUGAUGCCUUUUUCUGAUGAUAGGGGAUAGGGUCAUUUAUUAGUCAGCUAUUUUUGCUGCUGUGACUAAAAGACCCCACCAACACAACGACAGAGGAGGAGAAGUUUAUUCAGGAGCUCAGUUUGGGAGGUCUGAGUCCAUAGAAGGCCAGCUCCAUUUCUCAGGGCUUGAGGUGAGGCUGAACAUCAUGGCGGAAGAGUGUGGCAGAGGGAAGCAGCACACAUCAUGGUGACCAGAAGAAAGCAGAUCCAGAUACAAAGCCACGCCCCCAAGUUCCACCUCCUCCAGCCAUACCCCACCACUUCAGUUACCACUCAGUUAAUCCCUAUCAGGGGAUUAAAUCACUGAUUGGGUUAAGACCCUCACAACCCAAUCAUUUCUCCUCUGAACCUUCUUGCACUGUCCCACACAUGAGCUUUUGGGGGACACCUCGCAUCCAAACCAUAACAGGUUGCAGACUGUAAUAUUUUCUGGCUCCCAACUUCCUACUAUCACUUGCCUGACGCUGACUGCCAUUUGUCAGGCUGGUCUGGUUCAAAUAUCUAUUUCAAAAAUCACCCCCAAAGCAAAUUAAAAUAAGGAAUGUCUUGUUUUUCCCUCUAGUCACAUUAGUUUUGCCUCUGGAAAAAUGGGGAAAAAAUAGCUCUUGAGCAGAAUAUCAGGGACAGCCAAGGUACUGUUCCGCACCCCCAGAUGAAAAUCCAGAGAACCAGCAUUCAAAUCUGGAGGCUCCCAGUCCUCUCAGUCUUUGACAAUGGGAUCUUCUGGGGCAGACUGUUGAAGUCUCCAAAGCCCAACCCUGUCAGGGCCGUUUGAUGACCUGGUUGAGGAGAGACCACCAUGUUUUUUUUUUUUUUUGGUCGUCUUCUGACCUAGUUUCUUAAGUAAACUGAAUGUGAGCUUUUGCAUCAUUUUGCUUUUUAAACUAAUAUCGGAUGCAGACGUGAAGGAAAUUCCGUCAAGAACAUCGUUCUAAUCCUGAGGUCAGCAAUAGUGGAAGUAAAAUGACCCAUGCAAUAGAGCAGAAAUGGUGUUCUCCACACCAAGCAAAGAAGGAAGAAGCCCAGCUCACUGGAUUCAAAUGCGGGUCUUCUUAUCUGUGUAUUAGCAGCUAUCUAGUUUUCAGGCAUCUACCUGCCUAUCUGACUAUCUAUUGGCCCACCCCAAACCACUGAUAAAAGGAAGAAUAAUAUUGCAAAAGGAAGAAAGCAGAAAAGAAAGUAUUAUCUAGAUGUUAAGAUAACUACCUAGAGAUAUACACAGACAAAACACAGAAAAAAAACCUAAGGUCUGCUAAGACUUAGUUGAUAAGAUUAGACAUGUCAGAAAUCCCAGAAAUAAUACUCUAGUUUAGUAACAGUUGGAAAAGUCUUACCAUAAAGAUAGGCCAUUAUUAGUGAAUACUCAUGCAGAUUUUUCAUACAUUGAAAAGGAUCUUUGGCUGAGUAAUGGGAAAGUCAAUGUAGGCAAUGGGCCAUUUAUUCACUCAACAAACAAUGGCUAAGCACUCUGUUUAACACCCUGAAACACAGAGAAGAAGGGACAGAAAUCAGAUCCAUAAAAUGAUCAUCCAGGGAGCCUCGUGCAACUACAGGGCAAGGUUACAUCUCCACCCUACCUAAUGGCCUAAGAGUUUCCAUUAUGGGGAGUGGAAAUGGGGCGGGCCUCUCCUAGAGCUGUGCAAUGGAGACCUCGGUAAAAAAUGGAGCCGCACAAUGAUGACAGCUCUGUUAGGGUUGAACACAAGGACUGUGGGGUCAGAGAAGAGAGGACCCAGUGUGGACCCAGCCAGACUCGGCCUCAUGGGUGGGACGGGAUACCAAUACAACUCCCCAUCCAAGGUAACAAUGAACCGGGUGCGGUGGUGCACAUCUGUAAUCCCAGCAGCUUGGGAGGCUGAGGCAGGAGGAACACAAGUUCAAAGCCAGCCUCAGCCAUCGCAAGGUGCUAAGCAACUCAGUGAGACCCUGUCUCUAAAUAAAAAACAAAAUAGGGCUGCAGAUGUGGCUCAGUGGUUGAGUGCCCCUGAGUUCAAUCCCUGGUACCAAAAAAAAAAAAGUAACAUUGAUAUUUCAAAAAUAGGCAAGCAGAUGCAAGACUACUGAUUGCAGACUUGCCAGGCUCUAAACACCUUCCUGGGGAAACAACCUCUGCGUAUUCAAAGCCCCAGUGACUCUUUUCACACUGACCUUGGCUGAAGGCUCAUGUCCCUUCACACUUGGGGGCCACACAGUGUUCCACGGGGAAUGCCAAUUGUGAGACCUAUUUGUGAGCCACUAAGCAUUGAUAGUUCAGCACAGACCACACAAUUAAUUUCAUUUUUGCCCUCAGCCAGACUACAAACAAAAGCCCCAGAGACGACUGGGAAAUUAAUUUAUUAAAAAGCAAUAGCCUGAUAAUACACAUGAUGAUAGAAGAAAUGAAUAUGCUCAAUAUCUUAUAAAACAGUUGGCAAUCACAUAAUAGAGUAUUCAUUGUCAAUUUAGUAGCUUGUCUCAUUAUGCUCAGCAAAUAGUUGUAAAAUAGUGUAUUAUUCAUGAACCAACAUGCUUUAAUUACUUUUAGUGCACAUUUAUUUUUCAAAUGCAAUAUGAUUAGAUUCAUCUAUAAAAGCAGCCCAUUUUGCUAAAGUCUGCUAUAAGACCCUCCCAAUGAAGGAACCCUAGGUUGCAUUUCUCAGGCUUGGAAAUACAAACCAAAUACAAACCUCUUUCAUGAAAGAGGGUUUUGCAGCUAUGGCCUCCAGCGUUGGACUCCACCCAGUGCCCAGGACAGUCUGAACUGAGGUGGUAGGACGUGAUUCAACUAACUGAUUCUCUUUGUAACCCUGGCCAACUUCCUUCACAAUGGGGUAUGAGCAGACAGAGAAGCAGGGGCUUGGAAUGCUCUGGCAUUACUGGAUGUUUCCUCUUACCCUCCUGUGAUUCUUUAGGAAUGCUAUAUCUCUCCAGGAGACCACUAGCACCAGGAAGAUGAGAGACCUAUAGAGUAGCCCAAUCCAUAGCCUAAAACCAACCCAGCCUGGAUCAGCUGACCCUCAGCCCAGAGACAGAUGUAUGAACCAUGAUAAUGACUGCUACUUUAAGCAACUGCAUUUUGGAGAUGAUUUGUUACACAGCUAAAGCUAACUGAUACAGUUUGCAUAUGCAAAAUUUACCUUGGGAUGCCUCCGGACAAUCCUCAAAGCAAAUGGCAAUCAAAGUUUACCUCUGUUUUGCUUGCUUUGGAGGAUGUCUGGUGCAUGGGAUUAUAAGGCCAGGAGAGAAGUCACAGAGUGUCUAGAAAAAGCAAGGACUUCUCAAAUUUGAGCUUCAUAUUAAAAACUACAAGAACAGCUACUCUAACUUGGGGGUCUUGAUUUGCAUCAGGCUGCUGCUCACACGGGCAACUCUGUUCUUGUGCUCAGGAAAUGGUAAGAGGAAUUAAUCUAGUCACGAGGGCUGACAAUUCUUCAUUUCAAUGUUGAGAGUUUUAAGCUAAACUCAAGAAAUACCUGACUAAGCGGGAUUCUUAUUGGUAUUAAAAGUAAUGGAGGAAAAAUGCUCAGCACCACAGGCUCACAAUAGCUGGUGUCAGCAGCACCCACACUUGCGAUGGUUGUUGAUGUGGUACCUACUCACUGACAAUGGCAUUUGAGAGCAGAAGGGAGGACCAGAAACACCCUCUCCCACCCCCACUGCCAGCGGGGUCCCCCAGAAUCUACCAGCUCCUUCUCAGCCUCACCCAAGAUGGCCUUCCUCAGCAGCACCAGCAUUGCAUUAGAGCCUGGGGCUGGAACUCUAACACUUCCGGGCUCUAGGCUCCCUGGACCUUGGCUGGUGGGCCCCUGAGUGGGCUUCAGUCCUUCAAUGCAAGCUUCUGAGUUCCAAAUGAAUUGCUUUUUGACAUGCCCCCCCCCCCUCCAGGCCUAGCUCUCGGGCCUCCCUGGCCCUCUCGGUGCAGAGCAAAGCUUGAACAUCACUGAGCUCUGAUGAACCACCCUUGUCAAUGUCUGUGUUGUGCAGCUCUGUUUCCGCAGUUUCCUUUCCCUCCCUCUCCCCCUCCAGGUGCACAUCCUGGGAGAAGUCUCCAGCUGACUUCCAGGCAAACCAAGCACUCCUGCCUUUUGGGCCCACCGAGUCCUGCACAUCCUCUAGUAUUAAGUGGCUGUGUGGCUCUCUGUUGUCUUUCUCCGUGUCCCACUCAUCCAUGAGGUCUGAGAAGCCCAGAGAGACAGCAUCUCACCGAUUCCUGGGUCCUAGCCCUUUGCACAACACUGAGCCACAGACAGGGCUCAGCAAAUGCUGUGAAGAAAGUGACGAAUGUUCUGGCUGAGGCCAGCUUCUGAGGCUAAAUAAGAGGCCCUGGACCCCUUCCUCGCCCUCUGGGUAGAACUUCCCCUGCUCUCCCCCCACCUCCUGCUCCUUGGUCCAGGUCCCCGGCAUUCCCCACUGAAGACCUCUCAGCAGAUUGUAGCUCUCUCUUAUUAGGAGUUAAAAAAAAAAAAGUACAUGCCAUCUCUAAUGCUGAUGACUCGGACCCUCCAGGGACAACCUAUGCGAGGUUUACAGUGAUAGGGAGCACGCGAGGACAUUUCUAAUUAAAUUCUUUAGUGCUUCCACUUGACCUCAUUUCAACUGUGCCAUAAAUCUUGGGGGAAAAAAACCCUCAAAUCCAAAAUUUUAAAUAAUGCUUAUGAGUUGGUUUAGAACAGGGACUCUCCUUAUUAACCCAAUAGUCGAACAUCCUUUGAUUGCCAGGGUAUGUCUUAGACAGGGUCAGUGAAAGGCCACUGACCAUUUCAAUUAAAAUGUUUUCAAGGCUUUCUAAAUAAUAAACGGAACUUGCCUAUAAUUACAGAUGAAAUAAUAAUUAAAAACACCCCUCAUAAUCCUGCGUGUGAUGUUAAGGCUCGCUGUUGGUGUCCAUGUACCAAGACAAAUACCUCCUUGAGACCAGGGACCGAGGAAACAAUUAAAGUAUAAAUCCCAGGCACCCAUUAACACCCGGCUCUAUUAGCUGACUUUGUCUUCGGUCACAUUAAAGCCCUGUGGAGUUUGCUGGUGGCUUGGGCAGGAACGGUUUGGGUCCUACUUAAAUGGAAAUGUAAUUCUGCGUAGUAAAUCUCGGCUGUAAUUGGCUAAUAAGCACACACUUUGGCAGAUCACCGCUGGGGACGGUGGCUUGGGGCCUUUCCUCUCCUCUUCUUCACUUCCCCUUCUAGUAUAGCAGGCUUCUCUCCCUCGGCUCCUGAGACCUAGAAACUCCACGUAGUUUAGCUCCCACUCAGAGACCCCUCGGGGGGAAGGACGUGGGUCUUCUCAAACUGUUGGAUGGAUCAAGAGUCUCAGCCCCAGCACCUCUGGCAUCCGGGCUGCAUAACUCCUCGCCGCAGGGGGCUGUCCCGCUUGUAGCAGGUGCUGAACUUCACCCUUGACCUCUACCUACCGGUUGCCAGUAGCAACACCCCAUCCUGUUGGGACAACUUGAGAAAGCCUCCAGAGGUUGCCAGAUGUCUCCUGGAGGGGAGAUUGACCCCAGUUAAGAGCCACGGGUCUACCCAGGUGCACCCACUGGCGUAAUGUCCCAUCAUGGUGAGCGGUGACCAUGCAGUCACUCUUUUUAGACGCAGGCCCAUUCCUCCUGAAGUGCUUCUCUGCUGACGUGGUUUGCGGGGCCUUUGGACCUUUAGGAUUUUGCUUCCACUCCUUUCCCACUCUGGUUGUGUGUGUGUGUGGUCCUGGGAUUUUCAGCUUUGACCACGGUCAUCACCACAGGAUCUCGAACUGACCCCUUUGGAAGCUCUUCCUUUUUGGAAUCACCUGAAUGGGAGAUCUACCGAGCUCCACCCUUGUCCCUGGUCCCCUUGGACAAAGCCCAGCAUCCCCACAACCAUAAAGGAAGACAGUUUGGGAAGUAUACCAGCUUCUCCCAGAGUCCAAGCUCUCUCUGGUUGGAAGAGAGGAAAGCUUUAUGCUCUUCCUAGGCUCUUGGAAAGAGGCACUUGCUGUUCUUCUAAGUUUCCUUUGUGUCUCACAGAACCAGGCACCAUAGUUCCCCUGCCUUUUGGUUGAUUGGAGUAGCCCGGGCAGGGUAUUGGUCUCCAGCUAUUUGGCCCACAUGUCAGGGGCCUGCAGUCUCCAGGGAGGUAGAAGGCAGGAGGAGUCUCCAGACAUAGGAACCGUGAUGCCAGCUUAAAAUACAGGAUGCUCCAUUUAAUUUGAAUCUCAGACAAGAACAAUUUUUUAGUGAAAAUAUAUCUUCAACAAUAUAGGAUACAUACUUAUAGAAAAAAAAAACAGUUGUUUAUUUGAAAUUUGAAUUUAACUGGACGCCCCCUCUUUUUAUUUGCUGUAUCUGGCCACCUAGGCAGGCAGGAUGUUGGACCUGAACUUGACCCACUCCACUCCAUUCCUCCCCCUGCUCCCCCAGGCCACCAGGGGAAGUAGGGCUUAAAGGUAACCCAGUGCAGACACAGCUUCAAACUGUCACACCCUGUGGCCCUGACCCUGCCGGCCCCAACCUGAGAGAUCUGAACACUGGUCUAGACCUGGCUUCUCACAGACACUCCCUUGGUCACAACCCUGUUGUGGUUUGCCACUCUGGCCAAGGGUGCACCCACAUCUGUGGUCCCACUGAAAAGUGAAAAGUUCAGCCGGGCUCACUGGGCUUGUGGCUCCUGAUUCUGUAACUGCCAGAUUCUUCCUCUGUUGCUUCCCAAAUUCUUCCAAGAUGGAUUUUUUUUUUUUUUUUUUUUUUUGCCUGGAGAACUAGAGCUCCUAUUUCCAUGUAAGAGGUGAGAGAUGUCUGGUCACUCUCUGUGUCUCUAACCAUCCUGGUUUUCUCAGGACUGAGGGAUUUCCUGGGAUAUGGGAUGGUCCAUGGUAAAACUGGUGACAUCCCAGGCAAACGGGGACGGAUUUGGUUACCCUACUGUAGAGGUUGUCCGGGGAGUUCUCUCAGGGGUGGUUUGUAGGGAACAAACAUCCAGAAUUUUAAAAUCUGUCAAUAAGUGACAGGGUGCUAUAAGACAAGACUCGAGUCCCCUUUGCUGGAUUUGCUUCAGUCUGCCAGGGUGUUUUGUUUUGGGUACAUCUGAGUAUUUCAAUAUGCUCUUCAGUUUGCUGUUAAUUAGAGGGGUAAAAAAAGGAGAAGAAAACCAACGAAUGUGUUGUUUUAGGUGGAUUUUAGUGGGUAUCUUGGAACAUCAGUUGUGCCAUUGACACGUGGAAAAACAUUCAGUGGUGUGUGGAAUUGAGCCUAAAAAUUCUAUAUCUGAACUUUACCUAAGAAAAAACACCCAUGAGUGCAGGUUCAUCCAUCAGUUCAUUCACUUAUCCAUCCACCCCUUCAUCCGUCCCUCUGUCCAUCCAUCCAUCCACCCAUCUAUUCAUCUACCUGCACAUCUUUUUAGUAACUUUCCAUCCACCUUCCAAUGAUUUUGAUGGCUACCUCUGUACCAGGCGCUGUUUGGGGCUCUGAGGUCAAUCCUGUUCUAAGGGAACUUACGUUUUGUGGACAGGAGAAACAGCAAAACAAAGCAAAGCAAAAAUCAAUUGAUGAAUAAGAAAUCCUCAGCCAGUAAUAAGUGCUAUGGAGAAAAUAAAUAACGGCACUUUGCCCAUGUGAUGGGCUUUGGGGGAAAGGGAGCUGCCUCAGAGCAGGUGGUCAGGGAAGGCCCGAGGUUUCAGAAGAAGAAAAGCCAAGUCCCAGGGAGCCAGGAGGAGGGAUGCGCCUGGCUUGGUUCAAGAUUCAGAAAGUGGGUCAGAAGAAUAGUUUAGGAAGGAAUCAGCAUCUAGAAAUUGUUGGCAUAUCGACGGGGAAAGGCAGUGACCUGGGCUCUGGGUCUUUGUAUCCUAGGAGCCAACCCCAUGUCCCCAGAGAAGCCAGGCCCAGCUUCUCUGUGCACCAUGCUUCUCCCUCUGGCUGGCCGGGUUGCCUCUAGUCUGAUUCAGUAAUGGAGCCCUCUUUGCUGAGCUCUGUGAAAUCAGACACUUGGCGAACUGGCAUCCGGGAGGAGGGAAGAGGGGUUUUGUCCUGACAAUCCAAAACGCUCUGCAAAUGCUCCCCAGGCCCCUCUUCCCACUGGAAGUGAUGGGCAGCCAUUCGCAGGCUGCUUAGCACCCCAACCCACUGACAACCAGCCCUCAUUAGCUGCUGCUGGAACAAAGGAUCUUCCUGCAAGCCUUUUGUUGGUGGGGGAAAAAAAAUAGAAGAAAAACAAAUUCCUGUACAUGCCUAAACUAACUCCCAUUUAUGUUUGCACCAAAAAUGUGUAAUUAAAAAAAAAAUGGAAGAUGGGAGACACUGUUAUAACACACCCACACCAAACAUUUAUUUGCUAAAACAAGUAAAUGUGAAACACAGCAGCUGCCUGUAAUAGUCUGGAAUGAGCUAAAACUUUUUUGUUUUGUUUCCUUCUCAUUUCAGUUAGGGACAUCUUUUCCCAAUAGUUCUUACUUUACCCACCCAGUUUUGGACAGAUUUUUACUAAUAUCAGUGUCUCCUGAUGCUUAGCAAUUUUUAAAAAUCUGUCCUUAAUAAACCUCCAAGAAUCUUUUUUACUCCCCCUCUGCAUCUAGAUUAAUUUUGUUAUUGAUUCAUUUUAUUUGGAUCACGACAUCAAUAUAGCCCAGAUGCACUGGGAUCACUUUUAUAAAACGUUAACUACUUAUAUUUCAGACACACGGCAUCCAUAUAAAGGGUUAAGUGCAUCGCUGAGAAGUAUAUAUGACACUACCUGAUCAUAAAUAUGGCUUUUUGGAAUUGAAAGCAAUUUUUUUUUUCUUCCUGGCGUCUCACUAAUAUGAUACUGUGUCUGAAAUAAUAACUCUCUUUCCGACAGCACAAGUUCUCCCACCCCUUUUAGCUUCUAAUUUCUUACACGAUUCCCCUGGUUUUACAAGUAUUUUUAAUAGAGUGAUGUUCCAGAUUCUUCUACACAGUCAAAUCCUUUCAUAAUCAGAGACUUGUUUUUCCAUAGGAAUUUAAUUCCCUUUGCGGACUUGCAGCCCGGGCUGGGCUGAUCUGGUUUACAUUCUCUGACAUGUUUCCCCUCCCCCGAAGAUUAACGGAACUAUCACUUGGCGCCUUCUCAAUCCUUUUCAUCUCGUUUUCACUUAAAAAAAAAAUAUAUAUAUAUAUAUAUAUAUAAUAUUUAUUCUGAUUUCUGAUUUUAUUCCGUCGGGUGUCUUGCCCGCUGUUUUCUGAAGACAGGGAUUGGAGCUCUGGGGACAGGGAUGGAUCUGCCCAGCCUCUCUCAGCUUGGCUGAAACUAACUCAAGGAGUCUGAGACUUUAAAAACAGCACCACCGCCCGCUGAGCUGAAGGGCUCCCUUGAGAGGAAUCACUCCCGUCAAUAGAACUGUGUCUAAAAAAACCAGUCACAUCACUGGGCCAUCAUUGGGUACAUAACGCACUGAGUUUGGUAAGAAAAUGUGAAGAACAUAUAUAUUUACUCUAUCUCCGACGCUUUUGACUCCUUUCUAUUUUCUUCUUUUUUUGACUUCUUUUUAAUUGGUGCAUCAUGGUUAUACAUAAAAGUGGAAUCCAUUGCAAUGCCUUCCUGCUUGUACCUGACGUCAUUCGCUCCAUUCCAUUUUGCUAUCUUCUCCUUCCCCACCCCUCCUCCCUUCCCUGGAGCCCCUUCCUCUAUUCUGCGGCUCUUCCUCUUUAACUCCUUUCUUUAGAUGACCCACUCUCGUUGCUGAGGACUCAGGUUAGAAACCUCCUCUUUGGAGUUUCUGUCCUUAUUAUCUAAAAUUGGUCUCCCUAUGACUCUAUUUUUUCUCUUCUUUCUCCUUCCCUCCUUUCCCGGUUCCUUUUCUUCCUUUCUCCAUCAUAGGAUUUACUUGCAGUUGCUCUAGGUGUUUGUUUGGUCUGUGUUUGACACGGUUCAAUUUUCUGCCUGUCCAUAACCUAAUGGCUUCAAUGCUCCCUGCACCUAGUCCAGUACCUGACACAAAGCAGGUGUUUAAUGGGAAUGUGAUUUUUUUUUAAUACAUGUCUCAGAGCAAUGAUUUUUUUUUUCCUUCAAUUCUCUGGCCUGGCUUUCCACAUGAACUGCAUUAGCCAGUUAUCAGCACCCUCCCAUCCUCUGCUUUCAGUUUACAAUAUAUUAUCAUUGCUAUGUGGCUAUAUUUUAAAAGAUACUGUUCUUUCUUCUCUGGCCAGAUGUGUCCACAAGUCCUCGUUCCCUUGGGAAGUACUCCCCUGAUCCCAGGCUCCUUGGUGUUCAUCCUCUCAUGUUCUGAUUCUGGUGUUUGACGUUUGGAGCUGUUAUCCUUGCAAAGGAGGCAUCCAAAGGAAAACGGGGGCUUCUGAUCCAACUGCCCACUGUGAUGGCCACACCUGCAUCUUUCAGGUGAUCUGAAAAGGAAAGCUCAGCUGUCUCCAGAGCCCUGAGAAGCCUCGGAACGUCAUCUCACCUCUUCGACACUUGCCAGGAUGAGGAAAUGAGAAUAAAACCACGGUUCCUCUUGCUCUGACCUUGAGCUACAAUUUACAUGAUGUCCGAGGUGCACUUCCCCAGGUGUGAAUCAGUCCUCAUUCUGGUGCCUGGGGGAGGCUGUACUUCUGAGCGGUGGCCCUACUAAAGCAUGUGAUUCGAUGAUGUUGAACACCAGGUUUGAGGUUCCUGCACAUUUCCUGUCUAUUUAUAGAGUCUGGGAUGCCAUCCAGCAAGUCUAUGGAUUGCAUCAACCAAAUAAUAAACUUGUUGGAGAAAUCCGUUCUGUGUCAAUUCCACUAACGUGGGCUUCAGCUCACCCCCGACCGCGCCCAGCUUGGCCUUACUUUACAGGGUGCUCAGCCAUCCUAAUUUGCCCAUGACCAGGGGUUUCCAGGACUUGGGACUUUGAAAGCUGAGCCUGGGACAUCCCAAGCAAACUGGAUGAUGGUUACCCUCACUCUAUUUUUCUGCAAUAAUGCUCUGGUUAUGUCAGCAUUGCCCAUCGUCGUGAUCAUUAUCAUUAUCAUCAUCAGAAC